CAGAAGAGCAGCACUUGCUCACUUGGCUACAGUUAAAAGUUACAUCUGCCCACACAGAAAAUUGCAUCUCAACAAACUUGUCAUUGGUACCUGAACUACAUUUCAGUCACUCAGUAAAUUGAUAACUCAAAAUAUCAUUGUCAACAGAUCUGGAGAAAUUGCCACUGCGUCUUUAGACCGUUUUCGUCAGACGAGAGGCACAGUUCUGACUCUGAUUACUGGUUGCUGUACGUAUCUAUCCACAUAACGGCUGUUGAGGGAGACUUGUGAAGAUUCAAGACUGCUCUUAGAGGAUUUGCAGUUUAAAAGUGACAUAAUUGGGAAAUAAGUGUGCAGAUGAGUGUUUAACUGUGUUUUAUUGAAGUUGUUAUGCGAUUGUAA